GGCGCCCGCCAGCGCUGGCUGAGGGAGAAACAGACUGAGAGGAUGGUUCCCGCCCAGGGUAGAGGCAGCCGCAAGCUGAGGACUGGGUCCGAAUUCCCUGGAGGGAGGCCAAGGCUCAGAGAAGAGACCUUGGCUAGUGAGUGGCAGAGGCUCCAGAAGUUGCUGCUAAAUUCCAUAUCUGCUGAUUCCUGCCUGGUGCUGUGUGAUUUUUAUACAAGUUUGAGCCUGGCAUUCGAAGCACUCUGGAGUCAGUCUCCAGCUUACUACCUACCGGAUCCUCAGAUCUCCAGGAUGAGGUGGUAAUAAUUCAUGGGGAUGAAGAACCCAGACUUUGUGGCAGACAGCCCUGGGUUCAAUCCCAGGCACUGUCACUUCACUAGCUGUGUGACCCCAGGCAAGUUCUGUAAACUCUCUGAGCUUGGGUUUCCUUAUCCCUAGUGACACUCACUUCAUAAGAUUGUGGGGGAAUCUCAUGAGAUACCACAUGUAAAGCUCUCAGCACCCAGCCUAGUUCCUUAGGCACUUAAGAAACAGCAGCUGUGGUUACAUCUCUGGCCUUAUCUCUAGUACACAGACCCCUUUACUCCAGUCUAUGCAUUUCACUGGACUUUCAUGGCCCAGCCUAUUUAUUUACUUAUUUAUUUAUUUUUGGCGCACCCACGGCAUAUUGAAGUUUCCUGGCAAGAGAUCAAACCCGCGCCACAGUGCCAAUGCAAGAUCCUUAAUUCACUGAGCCACGAGGGAGCUCCCAGUUAAUUUUUUUGAUAUUACUUUUUUAUUUUACUUUUUUGAUAUUACUUUUUUAUUUUACUUUUUUUGAUAUUACUAUUUUAUUUUAUUCCUUAGCCAUUAAAAUCAUUCAAGCAUGUAUUUUUCUACAUAACUUAUUGCGAGCUGAUCAAUGAAUGUUAAAUAAAAUGUUAAUUUUCAUCAUUUGCUUCAAUGCAUGUCUUCUUGACCAAGUCUUCAUUUUUUAUUCCAUAAUAUUUUAUGCCUCACCUUUCAGGCAAUAAAGAAUUUUUAUUUUUUUUAAAUAAUUUUUUUUUUUUUGGUAUUUUUAGGGCUGCACUUGUAGCAUAUGGAAGUUCCUAGGCUAGGGGUGGAAUCGGAGCUGUAGCUACCAGCCUAGCCAUAGCCAAAGCAAAGCCAGAUCCCAACCACAUUUGCAACAUACAUUGUUUGAGACCUACACCACAGCUUAUGGCAAUGCCGGAUCCUCAACCCACCGAAUGAGGCCGGGGAUCGAACCCGCGUCCUCUUGGAUACUAGUCAGGUUUGUUACCACUGAGCCACAAUGGGAACUCCAAUGAGGAAAUUUUAAACACCACAGCUAAGAACCUGAACAUUCAUCUGCAAGUACCCAUACGCUUCUUACAUGCAGUUGUGCUCUUAGUGGUUUUCUUACAGCCAUCUUUGAUGAUAAGUUUUGGGAAAACAUUUGUCAUGACAAUCUUCAUUCGCCUUCAACUUUAUAGGCUCUUUUGCACCUUGAAGAGCCUGGUGACAGGCCCCUAGGCACUGCUGCCCCAUCCAUACGGCUGACGGGUGCCUUCUUUCCUCAGCAGCCACACUGGAAAAAGCUUCAUGACCUAGUUUAAAUGUCACCUUCUCCAGGAAGCCUUCCCCGCCUGCCUCCCCUCUCAUGGUCAGAGUGCCUCUUUCCCUCUUGGGACCUUUCCUGUGUUCUACCUCAACAAACGAAGCUUUGUUUUCAUGUCAUGUUUAUCUGUUAGGUAAGUUCCAUCAAGGGACCAGGUGGUAUUUCUCCAUGCCCCUCAGCAUCCAGAGCCUGGCUUGGCAUGCAGAAGAUGGCUAACAAAUAUUGAUUAAAUGAUUCACUCAUCUUCCCAGCAAAAACUGGCAGAAAUGAAUGAGAUCUGAAGUCAGAGACUCAGCAGGCCCAGCUUCAAGCCCCACUCUCCACCCUUCCAGCUGAGCGCCCUUGGACAGGCUACUGCUCCACCUCUCAAUGUCCCGUUUCCUCAAUCAUCAAAUAUUGAUAAUGCUUCUGCUUGGCUAAUGUCACAGGACUUCAGGGAUAUUAUUAAAAUGAUGUUGGUGGAGUUCCUGUCGUGGCUCGGAGGUAACAAAUUCAACUAGUAUCCAUGGGGACUCAGGUUCCAUCCCUGGCCUUGCUCAGUGGGUUAAGGGUCCAGCAUUGCCAUGAGCUGUGGUGUAGGCUGCAGCUGUGGCUCGAAUCUCGUGUUGCUGUGGCUGUGGUGUAGGCUGGCAGCUGCAGCUCCAAUUCAGCCCCUAGGCUGGGAACCUCCAUAUGCCCUGGUCCAGCCCUAAAAAAAAAAAAAAAAAAAAGAUGGAGAUGAUGACCAUUAAUAUUUCUGUAACCUACUAUGUGCCAAGCUCCUCUGAUCCUCAUGACACCCUCUGAAAUGGGCACUAUUAUUAUCCCCAUUUUACAGAUGAGGGAACCUGGAAGGAAUUGUGGCAGAGCAGGUUUGGGAAAGGAGCAGGGCCCCAGGGCCAGGAAGGGAAAUGGGGGUGGCAGGGUGGGGCUGAGAGGAACGAAGGGAGCCAGCAAGGGGGCUGAGAGCCAGCUCUCUGUGGUUGAGUUUCGGGCAGCUGGGGCUGGCUUUAGAGUUUCACUGCCUGGGAACUGACUAAUUCUUGUAAGAGGUGUGGGACACAGAUCUGCAGUCUGUCACCCUGAAUUUGAAUUCCUGCCCCAUUCCUUCCUUAGCGUCGUGCUCUUAGGUUGCUGGACCUCUCUGAGCCUCAACUUACUCAUCUUUGAAAUGGGAAUGGCAAAAGUGACCUUUCCACUUACAAUGAGGAGUCAUUAAGGUGUUGGAUAGGGAGUCCUCUGAGGAGUGCAUAAUAGGUAUUUAAUAUAUUUUCACUGAUGGCGUUCCCUUCGUGGCUCAGUGGCUAACGAACCCAACUAGGAUCCAUGAGGAUGCGGGUUUGAUCCCUGGCCUCCCUCAGUGGGUUAAGGAUCCGGAGUUGCCGUGGGCUGUGGUGUAGGUCACAGACAUGGCUCCAAUCUGGCAUUUCUGUAGCUGUGGUGUAGGCAGGCAGCUGCCCCUUCAAUUCGACCCCUAGCCUGGGAACUCUCAUAUGCUGUGGAUGCAGCCAUAAAAAGCAAAAAUAUAUAUAUAAAUAUAUUUUUCCACUGAGAUUUUUGCCUUUUUUUUUUUUUUUUUUUGUCUUUUUGCCAUUUCUCAAGCCGCUCCCACGGCAUAUGGAGGUUCUCAGGCUAGGGGUCGAAUCGGAGUUGUAGCCACCAGCCUACACCAGAGCCACAGCAACGCGGGAUCCGAGCCGUGUCUGCAAACUACACCACAGCUCAUGGCAACGCCGGUUCCUUAACCCACCGAGCAAGGCCAGGGAUAGAACACGAAACCUCAUGGUUCCUAGUUGGAUUCAUUAACCACUGAACCACGAUGGGAACUCCUGCAAUUUUCUUUCUUUCUUUUUUGUCUUUUUUGUCUUUUUUUUUUUAGGGCCACACCUGUGACAUAUGUAAGUUCCCAGGCUAGGGGUUGAAUCAGAGCUGUAGCGGCCUGUCUACAUCACAGCCACAGCAACGCCAGAUGCGAGCCACACCUGUGACCUACACUGCAGCUUGGGGCAAUGACACUGAGCAGGGUAACCCACUGAGCAGGGCCAGGGAUUGAACCUGCAAUCUCAUGGAAACUAGAGGGGUUCCUUUCCACUGAGCCAUUCAUGCCCUAAACUCUUCUGUUUCCCAGGCUUGGCUUACAUGGCUCCAUAUCCACAAGGCCCCCUUCCUUCCUUCCAUCCCCAUGUGACAAGUCUUUUUUUUUUUUAUUUUUUUUUUUUAUUUUUUUUUGUCUUUUUGGGGCCACACCCACGGCAUAUGGAGGUUCCCAGGCUAAGGGUCCAAUCAGAGCUCUAGCCGCUGGCCUAUGCCACAGGUACAUCAACUCCGGAUCCAAGGCGUGCCUGCGACCUACACCACAUCUCACAGCAAUGCCAGAUCCUUAACCCACUGAUCAAGGCCAGGGAUCAAAACUGCGUUCUCAUGGAUACUAGUCAGAUUUGUUCUGCCGAGCCACAACAGGAACUCCUCCAUGUGACAAAUCUUACCCAUCCUUCAAGGCCCAACUCAAAUGGCAGAAUGGCAGGAGUAGCGUCGAAAGUCAGACCUCCAAUAAAACUUCAAACCCUUUGGGAGCAGGACCCAUGCUUUGUUUUCACCUUCAUGCCCUCCUCUCCGAGAAGGCCAGGGACACAGUAGGCCCGCAGUAAGUGAUGAUGGAGAUAAGAGCUUACAUUUCCUGAGCGCUUCCUCAGUGUAAAGCACCAGCCUGGCAUUUACAUGCAUUCGUUAUAUUGAAACCUCCCAACUGGCCUACAACGUAGGUACAUUGAGGAAACUGAGUCUCAGAUAUGUAAGGGACUUCACCAAGGGCUGGCUAAAGAUGAAACCAGAAUCUGCACUCAGAUCUCUGAGCUAUUUUGGACAUAGAACUCAGCCCCAGAACCAAUCCCAUUGAAGGAGGGUAUGGUAUGUUCUGCCAGUGAAGCAGAGGUUCCAGUGCUGCAGACAUUGUUGGGGCUGGGAAGAGUGUGCCCACAGCUGGAUAUGUUAGGGGUGCUUUGUCCCAUUUUCCAGAUGAGGAAGCUGAGGCAUGAGGGACGUUAAUUGAAGCUGCACAGCUGGUAAGGGAGGGAGCCCCUGUUCUAGACAGACCCCAAUGCCCUGGAAAAGCCCCCAAACCAAAGCAAACUUGCAUCCCAGCUGGUGUACCUUGUGCCUGGUGUAUCUGCUAAAAAUGCCUCUGAUUCCCUCGAUUCAAAGUCCUACUUAUUAAAUACAAAAUGCUUGAUAGUAGCUUCCUGAAAGCACAGACCUCUUGUUUUGGGGCUCCCCACUGUGGUGUCCGUUCACAAAAAUUCAAAAUAAGACGGAGCUGUGGGAGGAAGAGAGGAAAAUGUCUGCUCCAUCGUCUUUGUGCUUCUCUGUACAGUCUUUUCCAACCUUUUUUUUUUUUUUUUUUUUUUUUUUUUUUUGUCUUUUUGUCUUUUCUUGAGCCGCUCCUGUGGCAUAUGGAGCUUCCCAGGCUAGGGGUCUAAUUGGAGCUGUAGCUACCGGCCUACGCCAUAGCCACAGCAACGUGGGAUCUGAGCCGCAUCUGUGACCUACACCACAGCUCACGGCAACACCAUAUCCUUAACCCACUGAGCAAGGCCAGGGAUCAAACCCGCAACCUUGAGGUUCCUAGUCGGAUUCGUUAACCACUGCGCCAUGACGGGAACUCCUUUUCCAACCAUUCUAAAGUAAGCAUGUAUUGGAGUUCCCAUUGUGGCUCAAUGGUAAUGAACCCGAAUAGUAUCCAUGAGGAUAUAGGUUUGAUCCCUGGCAUCCACCAUUGCUGUGAGCUGUGGUGUAGGUUGCAGACAUGGUUCGGAUCCUACAUUGCUGUGGCUGUGGUAUAAGCUGGAAGCUGCAGCUCCAAUUCAACCUCUAGCCUGGAAACUAUACGCCGCAGGUGUGGCCCUAAAAAGUAAAAA
rnacentral:lncRNA from 1 species